rnacentral:rRNA from 1 species
GACGAACGCUGGCGGCGUGCUUAACACAUGCAAGUCGAACGAUGAACCCGGAACUUGCUCCGGUGGAUUAGUGGCGAACGGGUGAGUAACACGUGAGUAACCUGCCCUUGACUCUGGGAUAACUGCGGGAAACUGUAGCUAAUACCGGAUACGACCCUCGGCGGCAUCGCCAGGGGGUGGAAAGAAUUUCGGUCAAGGAUGGACUCGCGGCCUAUCAGCUAGUUGGUGAGGUAACAGCUCACCAAGGCGACGACGGGUAGCCGGCCUGAGAGGGUGACCGGCCACACUGGGACUGAGACACGACCCAGACUCCUACGGGAGGCAGCAGUGGGGAAUAUUGCACAAUGGGCGCAAGCCUGAUGCAGCAACGCCGCGUGAGGGAUGACGGCCUUCGGGUUGUAAACCUCUUUUAGUAGGGAAGAAGCGAAAGUGACGGUACCUGCAGAAAAAGCACCGGCUAACUACGUGCCAGCCGCCGCCGUAAAAC